CCCUUAGAUGUUCUGGGCCGCACGCGCGCUACACUGACGACUUCAACGAGUUUUUUUCAUUUGAAAAAGUCCUUGGCCGGAAGGUCUGGGUAAUCUUUUAAAAGGUCGUCGUGAUGGGGCUAGAUUCUUGCAAUUAUUAAUCUCCAACGAGGAAUUCCUAGUAAACGCAAGUCAUCAACUUGCAUUGAUUACGUCCCUGCCCUUUGUACACACCGCCCGUCGCUACUACCGAUUGAAUGGUUUAGUGAGAUCUUCGGAUUGGCGCCACUGCGGCUCAGCAAUGGGCUCGGUGGAUGCCGAAAAGUUGAUCAAACUUGAUCAUUUAGAGGAAGUAAAAGUCGUAACA
rnacentral:rRNA from 1 species